rnacentral:rRNA from 1 species
UACGUAGGGAGCAAGCGUUGUCCGGAAUCAUUGGGCGUAAAGCGCGCGUAGGUGGCCUCAUAAGUCCGCUGUGAAAGUCAAAGGCUCAACCUUUGAAAGCCGGUGGAUACUGUGAGGCUAGAGUACGGAAGAGGCGAGUGGAAUUCCUGGUGUAGCGGUGAAAUGCGCAGAUAUCAGGAAGAACACCGGUGGCGAAGGCGGCUCGCUGGGACGUUACUGACGCUGAGACGCGAAAGCGUGGGGAGCAAACAGG